GUGAACCAAUCAGAAAAGCUGUUACAUCACGGUUAUAUGUCCGCUUUUAAUGGAUUGUUUUGUCUUGCUUUAUUUGCUGAAUCUUUCAUUUACGACGAGCGUGUAUUAUUUUUUUUACAAUGAAUUUUCUUGGAAACAUUUUGUAAUAUACGCUUUACCGCUGGUGUUCUAUACCAUCGGGUGGACGAUGAUUAGAAAAUUCACGUUCACUGUACAUAAACAUGUAUAUAUGCGAAGAAGGCAUAUCAUUUGAGCAGAGCUUUGUCCGUAGAAUUACAUGUAAAAUAUUACUCUCCUAUUAAUUAUACGACUGCGAGGACAAGCGAUCUCAAAAUGUUAGAUACUUUGUGAAAACUGUCGCCAUGUUUACAAUGACCAAAUGUGGUUGCUAGACGUAUCUGUUUUUCCACAUUUACGUAUGUUAAAAAUUAAUAAUGUAUGUUAUGCAUACAUAAAUGCAUAGAACAUUAUGAAGCAAACAAUUGCACUGAAAUUUAAAUUAUUUCUAAUACUACGCAGUUCUUGCACAACUGUAGUUUUUGUAAAUGAUGUCAUGGACAUAUGUGUUCGUAUAAAAAUCCGCACUAGAGCAAUUAUAAUUUGAUCGAAGCACUGUUGAUUAGUUUCUAAACAACAGUGCAAUUACACGCGGAAAAACCGACUCUUAGAUAACGCUUACAAUUGAGUCGCAAUCUUUACCCUUAACGGGUCAGAUGACGGGUACACACAUAUUUUCCUCGUACGAUAUUAAUCGGGUCUUAAUCAAAUAUCCAAAUGAAAAAAAACAGAUCCACACCAUUUACUCUUCUCGACCAAGUUCUGUAUUCAUAUUGAAGCAGACUUAAGUUUGUUAAUUUAAAUAAUUUAAGUCAAUUUAGUCACAAUUAUGCGUAGAAUGUCAACCGAAAUGGUACGAUUACGAAUGUAAAUAUUUUCGCGUUAGUGUCCGCUAUAAUUAUUCCAAGGUCGUAGAUAGUCAAUUUUUACAUCAUUCCUUCUCGGAAAUUGCCCAAGUAGAAUUUAAAUAUACAUAAAAUCAUUGAAAUACAUUAAUCCCUAAAAUUCGUUAAAUCAUUAAAUAUACAGGAAACGAUAAAUGGCAAAAAUUAAACAUGUUGCGAGUAUCAUAUUAUCAUCGUUUCACGAGAUCAGAUUUACCACGACAAAAUCGUGCAGAACUGACAUUCUAAGCUGAAGACCGUGUCGAUGCUCGAUUAGACCGGUAUAGUUCUCGGCGAUUCUCCACGCGGCACCUUGCGCAACAGGAUACGAUCUUGUGCCACGAGUUCACUAGAAAUCCGUGAACAAUUGUUGCCAGCCUUUUUCCUAGGAAAAAAAGUGCGUCAACUUAUUGCAACUUUCCCCUUGAACUGCAAUAGGCGACCCGUUUACGACAUCUUUCUCCGAAGUGUUUCAGAUCGCUUCUAAGCAAACAUAUUUUUACUCGCGCCGUGUACACCGGUCGCCCUUCCGUUUCUUUUUUCCUCAUUUCAACGAUCGAUGCAUAGGACGCGGCAUUGUCCGAGUAACACCGUGGUUCGGAGGCGAGUCGGGAUAAAAAUAAUGAUGUGUUAUUACGUCAGAUAGGAUCCACGGACGCUUAAAAAGAAACUCGUUCGGCUACGCGGAAUGAUUCUGCUGCGCACAUCGGUCUACCCGUCGCCAGCCGUUGCCAACCAUUUCUCUGUAAGCAUAUUCUUAUCUUCAAGAAAGAAUUGCUCCGAAUCAAGAUAAACAAUCGUACCUAGAAGAGGGGAGUACAAUUGAAAAUCCUAUCUAAUCGCGCAGGAAAAUAGUCUCGAGGGAAAUGUAAAAUUCUCGAGUAAGAUUAACUUUUAUUGGAUGGUUGAGACCAACGCUGCUGGGAAGUGGCUCUCUCCACGUUGGCUACUUGCCCCCUCCACCGUUCUUUCUUCUGUUUACUCGGGGAAACCUAAUGGCGUAUACUUUGGUGGUCGGGCAUGGCGAAGUUGUAAAAUUAGACCCCGAAGACCGGCGCCUAUUUUUGCGAGGAAACCCAGGCACUUUAUGGGCCUUAACACGGUCAGACCUGUAUAUGAAAAAUUAUUUUUGGACUGAAUCUACUGAGGACUUGAAUUGAAACAUUCUUGCAGCCCUACUUGAACUUGGAGACUCCGCUUAAAUUUCUAAGAAUAAAGUUGGCUCCAAGAUGUAAAACUUAUUUCUGUGGUCGGCCAAAUAAUUUUACAAGUUCGUCGCUCCUCUUUCACCGGUUACACGCUUUCUAUGAUCUUCAUCGAUGCUCGUUCCGCGCCAAUGCGAUCGAGCAAGGUCGUGGAACUCGUUUCCCAGCGGGACACGUAACAAUGGAAUUCGUGGAAAGCAAGAGGACAUGCAAAUAUAAUUCCCUACGCAUCGGGAUGUAAACCGGAUUUAGGCGCGACAUAACAUACACAGGGUGUUCUGAUUUAACGGUAUAAUAUUGAAUACGUUUGUCUCAAUGCGAAGCGGGUCUUUUGUCUUUUGUCUACUGCGACGCGAAACGUUCAUUCUGGAGCUACUUCAGCUACUCGACACCCGCGAUUCUAUGGUUAACCUUUUGUAAUAGGAUUAUAUAGUUUUCUGUACAGCACAACGCGUUGCCAAGCCGGUGAACAGAAUUUUACGGGGCGUCGCAGAGAACUAUCAAGUGCUAGCUUCUGGUGAUACAUAAUGCAACAAUCGUUUAGAAUUCGCUGUGCAUGAUAGAAGAGGAAAGAACGCAAUAGUCAAGCGUCGGUCAAACGUUCGUAACACCACCGCACUAAAUAAUUGCUGGAAAACUAGGAAACUCCGCGCCGGCCAGCGAAACAAGCGUAGUUAGAGUUAGCGCGUGUCGAUACCGUGCCGCGACAUGCCAAACCCCGAAGGUCGUGGAACUUGUUGGACACAAUGCGGAAUACGAAUGAAAUGUUUAGUUGUCCCGUAGGUGGAACGUGCACGCGGUAUACGUAACAUCGUUUCCAACGACACCUGCGAAUUCAAGGGUAUCGUUUGUAUUCCGCGAUGUUCCACGACUUUCGCCGGAAGCACAGAUUUCUUUCGCAUGGGCAGGGAAUUAUUGUGAGAAUUAUCGUCGCGUGUAGCUCGGUCACGGAACGAGUUUCUGUUAAUUACCGAACAAACUAAUGGGGAAACGAUUCCGGUGGACAAUGAACUAUGAGCCGUUUCUUCGUCCAUUAUUACAUCGAAUUCAUUUGCUCUUUGGAUCAGUGAGACAGCGGUUUCCUGUUGACGCGCGCAACGCACGAUAGUCGCGGAACGUCGCACGAAACUUCGUAUUUGACUGUUAUCGUUCACGGUGCAGCUAACCGUUGUGUAACGCGCAGAUAUUGCACACAAUUUUGUAACGGAGCGACGAAAUCUUGUUAACGCGACACGCGCGUGGGUCAUUGUAUCAGUGUCUAUACCGAACGGGAAGUCGCUUAUGGCCAAUCUAAAUUCAACAUUGCUGUUUCGCCGCUUCGCGAAACUAAUAAUACAACGAAAACGUUGAAUCCGAACGUAAUUGUAUUGCGACCGAAUAUUCCUCUGGAGAUUCCCUCGCUGCAUGCACGCGGCGAGGAGCAUCGACGAGAUUACAACAAGAUGGCUGACGAGUGACGCUAGCGGGAAAGGGAGGCAAAACUUAGUGGAUCGUGGGAAGGAAUGGAAGAAGGUCGACAGUGAUCCUCAUCCUUUUUCCCGGGGUGUCCCAACGGCCGACGUUCAUCCGUCGUUUUCAAAGGAACUCCCCUCGCGGAAUGCUCGGUUAAUGUUCGUCCAAGGUGCGGAUACUGCACCUGGCCGACCCACUCGCUUACACCUGGAGGCGAGGUGUGAAAACCCCGAAGUGAAUCGAUACACGUCGCAGUUUUCGCGUCGGCCCGCCGAAAUCCUCACCGGCGAAAACGCUCACGGCGGUUUUCACUUUUACAUUCCGCGGAUUGUCCCGCGUUUCGCAGGAAAUCCGGCGAUCCCCGCGACGGUUCUAUGUCGCGAUUCGGAAUUCACGGUUUCGACGGCGAUCAAUAGCGGCACGCAGGCCAUUCGAAUGGUGAAUUGCAUCGGAAGCGCGGCUGCUAGAUCCGAUUUAAAUCCACCGCCGCGACUAAUUCUCCAAAUGACGAUUCCCCUUUUUUCCGUUCACACCGUUUCCCAUUUAUUUUUUCCCGCUGGCUCUCUCCGUCUCCCUGUUUCCCCGGGUUUUGCAAGUCAAACCAGCUCCCCGGGCCUCUAUCUAGACACGCAGAUCCUCCUAUUGCUUAUUCCUCGCCGGUAGCAGCCGCUGCAGCGCGCGUUGGUCGUCGACCUUCUUUGAGAACAGGCUUCUCCCGUUCUUUUUCUUCGGUCGCGUUUCGCUCGGGCCCGAACCAACAAGAGAUUAAAAGGUGUCCCGUUUGCGUUGCGAAACACCGAUAUCUCGGUGAUGCAAGGUUGCGCGAUUUCAUUUUUCGCGAUGCAACGGGCCUGCAGCCCCGCGCCUGCAUACCGAUGCCAACCUCUCGUCGAUCCGCCGACUGAUUGACGGCUUUCUUGUAGAUCGUUAACCCGAUAGAUCGUUGGCUCGUUCUUCGGUUGGACUAUGACUAGUAUCUUACAUUUUCUCGCGAUUAAAAUCUCCUUUCAACAUACUUUCUUCCGAAUAAGGUGACUUGCACGGCACUGCCUUUAAUAUUAAUUUAGUCCUCGGCUGUUCUUUAAGCCAGUCACGUUCUUAUUUCAUUAACACGGCGGUUCUUCGGACUUCAUCGAUCGCGCUCUUAUUUUUUCAAGAAGAUUCCUGCUUCGUUAUUAGAUCGUGAAAUUUUAUUAAAACGUUGACUUUUAGAGACCAUUUCGCUGAACUUGGGGAUCGAAUGGAACUCCCGUUUAUCCACUGAAGGUUUUAUCUAGGUCUGAACAACGUAAAAGUCAUAGUUUCAAUUGAAUAUUCCGUUGUACCGAGUUGUAAGUGAUUGCAUCUAUUGUGGCUGGUUCACUGCGCAACAGAUAUUAUUAGCUGUUCCAAGAAACGUUCUUAGCUCAUUCUCGUCCUAUGCGAUCAAUUUCUUAAUUCGUCUCUUCGGGUCCUUCUAGCUUUCUCUUUUAUAUAGUCUCCUCCUAGAAGACGUACACACUGUUCCCCGAAGCUGAAACGUUCCAAACGAUUCCCUUUGAAUGUCACGAGAGAAACACGCUCGACGCGAGACGGCUCGCCUGUGGAAAUUCUGGAAGCGAUCGCGCGAACGAUGCGUUAAAUUACGGUAUCUGCCGGCCUAUCACGCCAACGACUGUUCUCGAAUGAAUCCAUUAUCAAGCCAGUCCUCGGCGUUCCGCCCACGAGCAUUAUCACGACGAGACGCGGUCUCCAUUUCUUUUAAGACCCAUCCGAUCCCAUUGCGGCCGCAUUCGACUUUAACUCGCCGCCAUUUGGGUAUCAUUCCGUUGCCGGCUGCGCGCCGAAACGUGCAUCUAAAGAGUUUCUUCGUGUGCACUCGGGACACGCCAACCGAUCGAUUUUUCUAUUUUAAAAGCGGCCGAUCAUCUAGCCGCCGUGGAAAGAUUUUUGUACGGUUGAUGUCUGCGGAAAUACAUUAUCGAAUACCUUAAACUCUGUCUUGACCUAGUUGCAACUUUCAAUUUCUUCCUAUUUCAGUGAGAUUCCCUUACAAUUUGAGAAUUACUCCAUUCGUUCAUCAAAUUUCCACCAUCACUCGGUGUAUAUAUCAUUUAUGUAUAUUAUGGAAAAAAUGUAUUUACCUAAAUCGAAACGGAGGAACUUCAGCUGAGAUAUUUUUCGUUGAAAACGGCGGGAAGUUGAAUUUUAUCAGCGAUUCAGAUACCGUAUCAAUGUUCAUUUCAAUUAUUUUUGGUCGAUCCGAUAAUCAAGCCGUGGGCUAUGAUAAAAUCAAUUUUUAACGCGUUAAAAGUCGACGCCGAUGCAAUCGCUGCACAAGAAAGACAACGUUUUCAUCGAAUUAAAGCUACGAGCAGCGUUAUUGAAAGUAAUUACUCUUUUAGUAUCGGACGUGGUGAACUUCAAACUGUUUUAAAUUCGUUGAAUAUCUUAGUAUAAAUCUAACUUUCUAGCUUGUAAUGAAACAUUGUAUAAUCCGUCUGCUUCCACGUGGCCGCGGAGAAGUCGAUUUGCGAUACAAGUCCUGCAUUAAACCUCGGUCGUAGCGGAAUUAAGGUAUCCGUGGGUUAGCGGUCAACGCGUUCGUAUCGAUAAAGCGUAAUUUUAAGGAUUGCUCGAGGGAAUUCCAGCAAUUGAAACAGAAAAAGAGACCACCGCGAUAGCGCGCCACACAAUCCAUUCGAUUAUAGAACACUCGAACGACACCGCUUCCAGAUUAUGUAGAAAGUUUGCGCAGCUUCUCGGAUAGUAAUAGAUAAUCAGCCGUCCAACGCGAUUGUAUCGCGAGACAGUUACUUUUCGUUGUACAUCGAUAUCUGCAUAUUCGGCGGGCUAAUUUCACAGGAAUUUAUCACGUGUCGUCGAGAACAAUGCAGUCGUUAUACACUAAUGACUGCGUAAUUAAACGUUAAACCCGUUCCCUGUAAUUUCCCUGGUAACUUCUUUUUCCGUUGCCACAUGUAUUAGCGUAUUCAUUGUUCUUUAUCGAGCUAGUUAACGUUGUUUUUCAUUAAAAAAUAAAUUGAUGAUUAAGUCAAUCUCGCGGCGAUCUUCCCCAACUAUCUGAUGUGACGUCCGCGAUAAGCAACAAUUCGAAAAUAACCAAAACAAUGAACAUUGAUACGGUAUCUACAUUCUUGAUAACAUUGUACUUUCAACCUGCCAUGUUCUGCAAUUAUAUUUCAGAGAAAUAUUAUACAGUAGAAUUCCUCGAUUUGCAAACGAUUCGUGUAAAUACAAUCUACAUCUAUUGAUCAUCUAUUACAAGAAACGAUCUACGUUUAAUAAUACAAUUUUUUCUAUCAUUAGCUUCAUGAAGCAGUGAUACAGCGCUGAAUUUCAAUUAAGCAAACUUUAAAUAGUAACACAAAUACACUAUGUAUUCAUAUUCCUUGAAUAGAUUUCCAUAGAUUACAGAAACUGAAAUGGUAUCGACCUCUUUAUUCCGUUGGAGGCAGUGAUUUUAAAUGAAAAAUAUCUUUUCUUACUAAAAUCGCAACACAAUUUCCCUACACACAAAUCUGCAAUUUCUCUACUGCAACUUUCUUUCCAAACACGUUCUUCUGCGCGAAAGCGUCCUAACGCAAUCGUAGACGGUGCCCGACAGCUUGUCACACAGUUAGUAUCGUUAGGAAUUAUUCGCGGCGAAGUGAAAAUGUAAUUCUCGUCUUCAUUGAUUCCUUAUUUAUCCAGUUCACCGAUGCGCCAUAUACAUCUGCAAUUCAAAGUCUCCUCCGCAGACAAGAAACCAGGAUUCUCAGUGAACGUCGUCAGGCUUGAUCACAUUUUAAUGAUACUUAAUCACCCGCUCGAUCGCCGGAUACCGUUCGCUGCAAUCGAAACAAGAUAUUUCGUCAUGGACGAGAAGAAAAAAAAACAACAACGGAAUAGGAAACAAAGAGCGAUCUACAAAUGGACGCGAGAAUUGCGAAGCGGGUCUGGCGGACGCGCGGCACGCGCUGAUUCCCGAGGAAACGGGGCGGCGAGAGAGCGUGUCACAGAAAUAAUAAUUCCGACGUGGAACGGCUGCUUUCCGCGAUUCGCUAAUUUAUUAUCGCGCUACGGCGCCUCGGGAGGUGCUCGUUUACGACGAUAACACGGAUUUAUCGUUCGCCGCGCAUCGCGAAACACGUUGCCUCUCGUGCUCCGAAUUUCUAUUUCUCGGCGGUAUUAAACAGUCUAAAAACAUCUUCGAGUUGAACGUUAUUUAUUAACUCUACGGCGUUUUGCGGGUCUAUUUAACUCAAUCACGGUUUCAUUUUCUCAGCACUAUUUUCAUCGUUUCGUUUUCUUACUGUUUUUAAAUUUCAGGAUAGAGCAGGAAACUUGUAGCUAGACUACAACUGAUCCUCGUUUUACGCGAAUGAACAUCGUAUAAAUAGAGUCCGCCGGUACAAGAGAAAGCAAAAUAUUGGAAAGAAAAGCUGGUAUCGUUUCAGAAAUACAUAUUUAUCUCACAUAGCCAAGCAAAAGGAAUAAUAUUUCAGAGAACUCAAAUCAAGCAUAAAAAUUGCCGCAUAAUCUGAUUUACUGUGUAAAUUCAGGACGGAGUGUAUGCAUUUCCACUUUUUUUAGCAAUAUGUCGAAUGCACAGAGAAAUCGAGGACCACGUCAGGGUUCACUUCGUACGAUCGCAUCGAAGAUUGGCAACAAUGGAGAUUGUGCGUUAAUAGUAGCCAUUUAAUAAUCCGUUCCGUGAAUGUGGAUCAAGGUCCGCCGAGAAACCGUAUUGUCCGCGCCGUUAGUCGUUAGAAUUUUUCCGAAAACAUUGCAUCACUCGUUUCUCGUGUUUUCCCGCGGGCGGAUCAGUGACUAACGCACGCAGGAGUCAUUGAUAAAGCCGGCUAGGCGUUUCCUGAAUAAGAUUCAGUCGGAUCGUCGCGUCGCGACACGCGGCGAAACGAUUUCUUCUCCGGUCGUUUCGAGUCCGGCGUGUUUACGUAACUCGCUAACCAUCGUUCGAUCAAUCGGUAGAUAAUAUGUUACAAUGUGUUGUUAUCGAUGGCGAUCUGUAAUUAUUGCUACGUUGACGCAGCCAGAUAAACUCUGAUUCGAAACGAUGCGGAUCAAAACGAUUGUGUGCCGAGCUCUCGGCUACCACCUGUGAUUGCAUUAGGGUGCUUUCACACAGAGGGACAAAUCUCCCCGGAUCGUUUCAAAUGAUCAGAGGAAGAAUUAAUGAAGCAAUUUAAUGCGAACGCAGUUUUCAUCCCUCAAACGAUUCCCAAUCAUUCGGAAAAGGAGCACGGGGCGUAAGCUUCUCAGUUGAAACACGGCUGGAGUGCGGGCCGAAGAUAUCGGACCGGUUGAAUCGUACUUUAACAUGGUCAGUGAUCCUGGAGCGCAAAGAAAUCAACCGACGGUGAAAUUGUUGCCGUCGCGGGGAAUUUAUCGGCACGCGGCAUGCGGGAGGAAUCUAUCGGCUCGAUAUAUUAUCAUUGUCGCGUGGUGCGACGCUCGUAACUUAAGAUUAAAGACGAAAUUUCUCGUCUGCGAACCGAUUAUUACUCGUUCCAUCAAUUCCCCGCCUACAUCUUCACCUUUUCCGAACAGUAAAUGCUUCCUCCAAUGAUACUAGAUAGAAAUACUUGCACUGCGACGGUUUUAAAUAUUCAAUCGACACGGUUACGUUUGUAACGCUUCAAACGCAUCAACCCUUACCUGUCGAAUUUUCUUUGUAAACAGUGUUAUUCGUAAACUUCGAAUCAAGUAUUAAUCUAGUUUCCAUUUGCUUAUGAGCAUGAAAUUAUUAUUCAACGCUUAAUAACAAAAGCUUGUCGUUUGUAUAGAAACACCAAACUGUAGUCCUAGAUAUAAAGAAGUUAGU